CGUACGGCUCAGUAACACGUAGUCAAUCUACCGUAAAGAGGCGAAUACCCAUGGGAAACUGUGGCUAAUGCGCCAUAGGCCAGGGAUUCUGGAAGGAGCCCUGACUUAAAGGAGCGCGAAUUGCAGCGCUUCCGCUUUACGAUGAGACUGCGGCGGAUCAGGCAGAUGGCGGGGUAACGGCCCACCAUACCUAUAACCCGUAGGGGAUGUGGGAGCAUAAGCCCCGAGAAGGGCACUGAGACAAGGGCCCUAGCACUACGGUGUGCAGCAGGCGCGCAAACUCCACAAUGCGCGUAAGCGUGAUGGGGGGAAUCUGAGUGGUUCACUUUGUGAACCUUUUGCCAAGUAUAGCAAGCUUGGCGAAUAAGUGCUGGGCAAGACCGGUGGCAGCCGCCACGGUAAUACCGGCAGCACAAGUGGUGUCCACGAUUAUUGGGCUUAAAGCGCUCGUAGCCGGCUGAUGCCGUCUCGCGUGAAAUAUUGGCGCUCAACGUCAAUGCGUGCGCGAGAUACCCAUCGGCUAGGGAGCGGGUGAGGUCAGGAGUACUUAUGGGGGGAGGGGUUAAAUCCUGUAAUCCUAUAAGGACUAACGGUGGCGAAGGCGCCUGACUAGAACGCAUCCGACGGUGAGGAGCGAAGGCUAGGAGGCAUUGAGCCUAACAAGAUAAUCAUCGACAGCGAGGGCAAGGUCAAGAAAACUUUCUUUUACAACUCCACGAUGGUGAAAAGGUUUGAAAAGGCGCUUGAAAGAAGAGUAAACAUAUUCAAGUACGCCAAUGCAUAUUCCGGAAAUUACUUCGCGGCGCUGUUCGACUGCAACGGAGGCAAGGAUGCUAAAGGCAUCUUUCUGAAGGGCAUGGACAGCGUUGACGAGGUAGUACUCGAAAGGCUCAACAUACACACGGACAAAAGGGGCAGCAAGGAUUACCUUGCAAACCAGUCCGCAUUCAUAACGCUAAUAAAAGAUUACAGCCUUAGAAUUGCGAGUAUUAUUCAUUGACCCGGAAACGAGCGAGACCCUCGCUUACAGUUGCUACCUGCUUAGAGAUAAGCAGGGCACUCUGUUAGGACCGCCUUCGUUUAAGGAGGAGGAAGGAGAGGGCGACGAUACGUCAGUAUGCUCUGAAUCUUCUGGGCUACACGCGGCAUACAAAGGUCGGCACGAUGAGAUGCAACACCGAAAGGUGAAGCUAAUCCCCUAAAACCGGCCCAAGUUCGGAUUGAGGGCUGAAACUCGCCCUCAUGAAGCUGGAAUCCCUAGUAAUCGCUUGUCACUAUCGAGCGGUGAAUACGUCCCUGCUCCUUGCACACACCGCCUACCAAGCCACCCAAGUGAGGUCUUAGUGAGGCAGCGCCACUGGCGUUUUCGAACUAAGGUUUCGCGAGGUGGGCUAAGGUAUAACAAGGUAUCCGUAGGGGAACCUGCGGAUAGAUCACCUCAAAAGGGC
rnacentral:rRNA from 1 species